rnacentral:rRNA from 1 species
GGUUAAGCGACUAAGCGUACACGGUGGAUGCCCUGGCAGUCAGAGGCGAUGAAGGACGUGCUAAUCUGCGAAAAGCGUCGGUAAGGUGAUAUGAACCGUUAUAGCCGGCGAUGUCCGAAUGGGGAAACCCAGUGUGAUUCGUCACACUAUCGUUAACUGAAUACAUAGGUUAACGAGGCGAACCGGGGGAACUGAAACAUCUAAGUACCCCGAGGAAAAGAAAUCAACCGAGAUUCCCCCAGUAGCGGCGAGCGAACGGGGAGCAGCCCAGAGUCUGAAUCAGCUUGUGUAUUAGUGGAACGGUCUGGAAAGUCCGACGGUACAGGGUGAUAGUCCCGUACACCAAAAUGCACAGGCUGUGAACUCGAAGAGUAGGGCGGGACACGUGGUAUCCUGUCUGAAUAUGGGGGGACCAUCCUCCAAGGCUAAAUACUCCUGACUGACCGAUAGUAAACCAGUACCGUGAGGGAAAGGCGAAAAGAACCCCGGCGAGGGGAGUGAAAAAGAACCUGAAACCGUGUACGUACAAGCAGUGGGAGCACCUUCGGGUGUGACUGCGUACCUUUUGUAUAAUGGGUCAGCGACUUAUAUUCUGUAGCAAGGUUAACCGUAUAGGGGAGCCGCAGGGAAACCGAGUCUUAACUGGGCGUUAAGUUGCAGGGUAUAGACCCGAAACCCGGUGAUCUAGCCAUGGGCAGGUUGAAGGUUGGGUAACACUAACUGGAGGACCGAACCGACUAAUGUUGAAAAAUUAGCGGAUGACUUGUGGCUGGGGGUGAAAGGCCAAUCAAACCGGGAGAUAGCUGGUUCUCCCCGAAAGCUAUUUAGGUAGCGCCUCGUGAAUUCAUCUUCGGGGGUAGAGCACUGUUUCGGCUAGGGGGUCAUCCCGACUUACCAACCCGAUGCAAACUACGAAUACCGAAGAAUGUUAUCACGGGAGACACACGGCGGGUGCUAACGUCCGUCGUGAAGAGGGAAACAACCCAGACCGCCAGCUAAGGUCCCAAAGUCAUGGUUAAGUGGGAAACGAUGUGGGAAGGCACAGACAGCCAGGAUGUUGGCUUAGAAGCAGCCAUCAUUUAAAGAAAGCGUAAUAGCUCACUGGUCGAGUCGGCCUGCGCGGAAGAUGUAACGGGGCUAAACCAUGCACCGAAGCUGCGGCAGCGACACUAUGUGUUGUUGGGUAGGGGAGCGUUCUGUAAGCCUGCGAAGGUGACCUGUGAGGGUUGCUGGAGGUAUCAGAAGUGCGAAUGCUGACAUAAGUAACGAUAAAGCGGGUGAAAAGCCCGCUCGCCGGAAGACCAAGGGUUCCUGUCCAACGUUAAUCGGGGCAGGGUGAGUCGACCCCUAAGGCGAGGCCGAAAGGCGUAGUCGAUGGGAAACAGGUUAAUAUUCCUGUACUUGGUGUUACUGCGAAGGGGGGACGGAGAAGGCUAUGUUAGCCGGGCGACGGUUGUCCCGGUUUAAGCAUGUAGGCUGGUUGUCCAGGCAAAUCCGGAUAAUCAAGGCUGAGGUGUGAUGACGAGGUACUACGGUGCUGAAGUAACAAAUGCCCUGCUUCCAGGAAAAGCCUCUAAGCAUCAGGUAACAUCAAAUCGUACCCCAAACCGACACAGGUGGUCAGGUAGAGAAUACCAAGGCGCUUGAGAGAACUCGGGUGAAGGAACUAGGCAAAAUGGUGCCGUAACUUCGGGAGAAGGCACGCUGGUGUGUAGGUGAAGUCCCUGCGGAUGGAGCUGAGACCAGUCGAAGAUACCAGCUGGCUGCAACUGUUUAUUAAAAACACAGCACUGUGCAAACACGAAAGUGGACGUAUACGGUGUGACGCCUGCCCGGUGCCGGAAGGUUAAUUGAUGGGGUUAUCCGUAAGGAGAAGCUCUUGAUCGAAGCCCCGGUAAACGGCGGCCGUAACUAUAACGGUCCUAAGGUAGCGAAAUUCCUUGUCGGGUAAGUUCCGACCUGCACGAAUGGCGUAAUGAUGGCCAGGCUGUCUCCACCCGAGACUCAGUGAAAUUGAACUCGCUGUGAAGAUGCAGUGUACCCGCGGCAAGACGGAAAGACCCCGUGAACCUUUACUAUAGCUUGACACUGAACAUUGAGCCUUGAUGUGUAGGAUAGGUGGGAGGCUUUGAAGCGUGGACGCCAGUCUGCGUGGAGCCAACCUUGAAAUACCACCCUUUAAUGUUUGAUGUUCUAACGUUGGCCCCUGACCGGGGUUGCGGACAGUGUCUGGUGGGUAGUUUGACUGGGGCGGUCUCCUCCCAAAGCGUAACGGAGGAGCACGAAGGUUAGCUAAUCCUGGUCGGACAUCAGGAGGUUAGUGCAAUGGCAUAAGCUAGCUUGACUGCGAGCGUGACGGCGCGAGCAGGUGCGAAAGCAGGUCAUAGUGAUCCGGUGGUUCUGAAUGGAAGGGCCAUCGCUCAACGGAUAAAAGGUACUCCGGGGAUAACAGGCUGAUACCGCCCAAGAGUUCAUAUCGACGGCGGUGUUUGGCACCUCGAUGUCGGCUCAUCACAUCCUGGGGCUGAAGUAGGUCCCAAGGGUAUGGCUGUUCGCCAUUUAAAGUGGUACGCGAGCUGGGUUUAGAACGUCGUGAGACAGUUCGGUCCCUAUCUGCCGUGGGCGCUGGAGAAUUGAGGGGGGCUGCUCCUAGUACGAGAGGACCGGAGUGGACGCAUCACUGGUGUUCGGGUUGUCAUGCCAAUGGCACUGCCCGGUAGCUAAAUGCGGAAGAGAUAAGUGCUGAAAGCAUCUAAGCACGAAACUUGCCCCGAGAUGAGUUCUCCCUGAGACUUUAAGUCUCCUGAAGGAACGUUGAAGACGACGACGUUGAUAGGCCGGGUGUGUAAGCGCAGCGAUGCGUUGAGCUAACCGGUACUAAUGAACCGUGAGGCUUAACCUU